rnacentral:lncRNA from 1 species
CCACUUUUAUUAUAAUGGUUGAUCAUUGGUCCAACACCAUAUAUAGCUAAUAAUAUAUAUCAUCACCAUUCACCAAACUUGUUCUUGAUCCACUUGAAGCUAUUACUUACACUUGUUUUGAUCUUCCCCUCCACUGUGAGCACAUUAUACCCUUUGAUUCUCUUCUUCCUCUUAAUCUCUGGAUCAUUUGAUGCACGAAAUCCACUUCCCUUGUGACUUGGCCCAUUGAAGUUGUAUGAGUGUGAUCUUUCUCUGUACACAAAUUCAGUGUAAGAGCAAGAGCAUUUAGGGAAUGACUUACUUUGUUCCAUGAAACAAACCCUUUCUUUGGUUUUUCACUGCAUGAAACAUGAAAUAUG